rnacentral:rRNA from 1 species
UCUAGCUAAGCCACACCCCCAAGGGUUUUCAGCAGUGAUAAACAUUAAGCUAUUAGUGAAAACUUGACUUAAUUAAGGCUAUUAAGGGUCGGUAAAAUUCGUGCCAGCAACCGCGGUUAUACGAAAGACCCAAGCAGACAAUACCCGGCGUAAAGAGUGGUUUAUUUAAAUUUUACUAGAGCCAAAUACCCUCAAGACUGUUAUACGUGUUCGAGAAUAUAGAAGCCCACCCACGAAAGUAGCUUUAUAAAAUAAAUACCACUAAAGCUAAGACACAAACUGGGAUUAGAUACCCCACUAUG